CAGGCUUCGAACGUAUGGGUUUCUGUCCCCAGUUUGACGCAUUUUUUACAGAUCUCACGGUUUCAGAACAACUAACAUACUUUGGUGCGAUGAAAGGACUGGAAAUUAGCUUAUUGCCCAAAAUAAUAGAAAAUCUGUUGCAGUCUGUGCGCCUUUCUGAGAAAGCACGCGCGUUUGCUCAUGAACUUUCUGGUGGAAUGAAGCGAAGGCUGAGCAUCGCUUUGGCGCUUCUUACCAGCCCUGAGGUACACAGGUUGGCCUUCAUUAUUUAAUGCUGCAUGCCAUAUUGAAAAUGAAAUAUAAAUGGAUGAAAUAUCAAA
rnacentral:lncRNA from 1 species